rnacentral:rRNA from 1 species
CAGAGGGUGCGAGCGUUAAUCGGAAUUACUGGGCGUAAAGCGCGCGUAGGCGGCUUUGCAAGUCGGGUGUGAAAUCCCCAGGCUUAACCUGGGAACUGCAUUCGAGACUGCAUUGCGAGAGUAUGGGAGAGGGAAGUGGAAUUUCCGGUGUAGCGGUGAAAUGCGUAGAUAUCGGAAGGAACAUCAGUGGCGAAAGCGACUUCCUGGACCAAUACUGACGCUCAUGUGCGAAAGCGUGGGGAGCAAACAGGAUUAGAUACCCUGGUAGUCCACGCCAUAAACGAUGAGAACUGGAUAUCGGGAGGGUCUGCCUCUCGGUGUCGUAGCUAACGCGUUAAGUUCUCCGCCUGGGGAGUACGGCCGCAAGGUUG